GAUGAACGCUGGCGGCGUGCCUAAUACAUGCAAGUCGAGCGAACGGACGAGAAGCUUGCUUCUCUGAUGUUAGCGGCGGACGGGUGUGUAACACGUGGAUAACCUACCUAUAAGACUGGGAUAACUUCGGGAAACCGGAGCUAAUACCGGAUGAUAUUUUGAACAGCAUGGUUCAAAAGUGUAAGACGGUCUUGCUGUCACUUAUAGAUGGAUCCGCGCUGCAUUAGCUAGUUGGUAAGGUAACGGCUUACCAAGGCAACGAUGCAUAGCCGACCUGAGAGGGUGAUCGGCCACACUGGAACUGAGACACGGUCCAGACUCCUACGGGAGGCAGCAGUAGGGAAUCUUCCGCAAUGGGCGAAAGCCUGACGGAGCAACGCCGCGUGAGUGAUGAAGGUCUUCGGAUCGUAAAACUCUGUUAUUAGGGAAGAACAAAUGUGUAAGUAACUGUGCACAUCUUGACGGUACCUAAUCAGAAAGCCACGGCUAACUACGUG
rnacentral:rRNA from 1 species